rnacentral:rRNA from 1 species
UACAGAGGGGGCAAGCGUUGUUCGGAAUUACUGGGCGUAAAGGGCGCGUAGGCGGCCCGCUAAGUCGAACGUGAAAUCCCCGGGCUCAACCCGGGAACUGCGUCCGAUACUGGUGGGCUUGAAUCCGGGAGAGGGAUGCGGAAUUCCAGGUGUAGCGGUGAAAUGCGUAGAUAUGACAUAGAACACCAAUUGCGAAGGCAGCUGGCUACACAAAUAUUGACGCUGAGGCACGAAAGCGUGGGGAUCAAACAGG